ACGGAUUAAAUCUUGAACAAAUUGGAUUUGUUCAUCCUCGGGAUAGUGGAAUUCAACCCUGCAUCCCGUUAACAGUGAAGACUGCAUUUCUGCUUAUAUUCUGGAUAACUUCACAUCAAUAUUUUAAAGAAAAAGCUAAAGAUAAAGCUGAAAACGAUCUAUUGCUUCAGAUUUUUGGACCGCAACAUUCACGAUCUGAACACACAUUAUUCGAAAAGUCAAGGGCGCCGCGUGCGAUCAUAUUUAUUUUUGAAAGUGUUUCAAAUUUUGUUACACGUAUCUGGAUGUGGAUGUUAAUAUUCUUAAUAUUUCUAUGUGCUAUGCUUGAUCAAGUCAUGACCGGAUUUCGUAUUUGCUACAUGUCACUCUUCCUUCUAUUUCUAAUGGUUUUUCAGAUGUCUUUGCAGCUCUGGAUAAAGUUUUUAUAUGGAUAUUGGAUGUUUGUUAUAUUCUAUGCAAUGACUAUAUUAACUAUUAUAUAUACCUAUCAAUUCGACUACUUUGACCACUAUUGGGAGACAUAUCUGCAUGUUCAGCCCACCUUACAAAAUGAUAUAGGCUUACGCCGCUACCGCACUAAAGAUCUCUUUCUACAUUUGCUUAUUCCAACAUUAACAGUUAUUUUUACUGUGGUACAACUGCAUUAUUUUCACCGGCGUUUUAUGGAAUCUGUACGUCAGCCAAGACCAACCGAUCGAAAAAGUCAAAGUUCUCGGGUGCGCUUUAGUGUGGCUACUGGAAAUCACCAAAAAAUUAACAUUCCACGUAAACAAUCAUGGAAAUCCUUAUUUUCUGGAGUGCACAAGAGAUUACGGUCAAGGCUUCGUCGAUGGUUUCGACCUAGUAAAUUGGUUGCAUGGCGAUUUCUUGAAAUGCACAUGAUUAAAGCGGUCAUAUUGACCACCUUUACUUGUGCUAUUUCAGAAGUUUGCUGUUUCAACCUUUUUCUUGUCAUAUUAUCGCUUAUGAGUGUUGGUAUAAAUCGAUUUCUCCGACGAGUCAUAUUUCGUAUAGUUACAUUUUGGGUUUCUGUUUUAAUACUCAUGAAAAUGAUCUAUCAGAUAAAAUAUUUGGAUCAAACACAAUAUAAUUAUUCAUGUAAAAACGAAACAAUAAACUUUGCUGAUUGGAUGGGUCUUCGAAAAACUGAUCAGAUUUGGGGUGCAUUAUUACGGUAUAUAGCGCCGUACAUUGUAUACAUGAUCGUUACUACAUUGCAUGCUGUAGUCAAAUUACGUGAUCAUUUGAUACGAUUUUCGAUGGGUGAGAUAAGAGACCGCACAACUAUUUUUCCUAAAACAUCUCGUCAAGACGCUGAACGGAAUUUUUCUGGACUACUAAAAUAUCUACUUAACUAUGGAUACUUCAAGUUUGGAUGCGAAAUAACUCUAAUCGCGCUAGUCUCAACUAUUGUCCAUAGACGUGAUAUACUUUCAGUAACAUAUGCCCUUUGGCUUAUACUUUUACUCUGCCUCACACGUCUGCAGUGUGCACGAAUAUGGUAUAUGUUGCAGCUAUAUUUUGUACUUUCAAUAUUUGUACAAUAUGUGUAUUUAAUACAUUUUCCACCAAAUAUAUGUCACGUUUCAAUUAAUGAAUCGCAACAUCUCAGGAAUAAUUCGACUUUUGAGAGACUUUUAGAUGAUUCCAUUAAAUCAAAACUUAUGCUUGAUUUCAUUGUACUUUUACUUAUAGCGCGUCAACGUAAGGCAUUUAAAGUAGAAAUUCGGCAAGAUACCAAUUUUAUAUAUCCGGGCGGUGAUAACAGAAACAUUGUACAUAACAUUGCUAAGCUGGGCCAUGUUUACUUUAGAAAUCCUACGCAUGAUUUUUGCUCUUUUGUCCGUAACUAUUCAGAUGUAUUUAAGACUCUUAUAUUCUGUAGCUUUCUCUGGGUUACACUAGCUGUUGUAUUUAUGGGUGGUGUUUGCAGUAUGGAUAUGUUGUCAUUAGGCUAUUUAAUAUUUGCUUUAGUAUUUAUGCUUCAAGGCUCGGAAGUAUAUUUACAAAAUAUUCAUUACAUCAUAUGCCGCUGGAAUUUCCUUAUUGCAUUUAAUGUUUUUAACAUAGUCAUAAAAGUCUGCAUUAUUGUGUUUGGAAAUAUGUUAGACAUAAAAGACAAACAAGAUUAUCAAAGUUUGUUUGCAGUUAUGGAAUAUGAUCAAUCAUUGCCGAAGACUGAAGCAGAUAAGCAAGCUGAAAGAAGUCAUAUUUACCAUUAUGGUCCGAACAGCAUGAUCUUUAAAAACACUCUGGUGUGGCAUGCAAUUAUUUUUGCUUUUGUUAUCUUUCAACACCGUAUAUUUCGUUCAUACUACUUUUGUCACAUAAUAAUGGAUACUCAAGCUAACACAGUUCUGGCG